UGAAAUUUGUUAUGCAGACAUAGAGUGCCUUGCUCCUGAGCACUAUUUGACGCCACCUAUCAUGAACUUUUACGUUCUAUACCUACAACAGCAAUCUUUGAAGUCAGAUAAAGGAAUAAAUGAUUAUCAUUUCUUUAAUACAUAUUUCUACAAGAAGCUCCAAGAGGCAUUAUCAUGCGAGGGAAAGGAGAAAGAUGCCCUUUUUGCUAAGUUCAGAAGGUGGUGGAAGGGCGUGAACAUAUUUCAGAAGGCUUAUGUCUUUAUACCUAUACAUGAGGAGUAAGUUCAAUAAUCUUGUAUCUUCCAUAACUUUUCUACAAU